UACGGAGGGUGCAAGCGUUAUCCGGAUUUACUGGGGUUAAAGGGUGCGUAGGUGGAUUGGUAAGUCAGUGGUGAAAUACUUUCGCUUAACGAAGGAACUGCCAUUGAUACUACCAGUCUUGAAUACAGUGGAGGUAGGCGGAAUGCGUCAUGUAGCGGUGAAAUGCUUAGAUAUGACGCAGAACACCAAUUGCGAAGGCAGCUUGCUACACUGUUAUUGACACUGAGGCACGAAAGCGUGGGGAUCAAACAGG
rnacentral:rRNA from 1 species